GGCAUCACCAGCUCCAGAACUUGUGGUUGUAACUGAGGACAGGGUGGAAGGUUCACAGCCACUAGGAGAGGGGACUAAAGAAACAGCCAGUCUAGGCCUUGGUUGGGGCAGUGAGCAGCUGAUGGAAACUCUGCAUCUACAGAUGAGUAUCCCUUGUGUGCCGGGACUUUCCCUCACCAGCUAGUUCCCCUCCACCAGCAUGGCUCUUCCUCAGGAUACCACGCUUUGUGUCCAGCCUCCAGCCCUGCUGAGCACAUCCCACACAGAGUCCUUGUGAGAACUCAGUCCUAAAGGCUUUUCAACCUCUGCACCCUCGAGCCCAUCCAUCACUACUAGCAUCCCUGUCUUGUACCCAGCUUCCCAUGUGCUCUCCCACGGGAAGGGACAGUAAAAGCUUCAUUUGCAACUCUUGGCUUCCUGACCUUCAGUCCUCGGCUCUAGCGGGCCACGGGACCUCUGACCCCUAGCCAAGCUUCCCUGAUCCAUGAUGCAUGGCCAGCGUCUUCAGAGACGACUAGGAGUCUCUCCUAUGACCAGCCACAGCUUGUGACUCCCCUAUUUGGCAUGUAAUCUCUUACAGAAAUCUGGAGACUCUACUCAUUCUCUCUUAACUCCCACCUUUAACCUCUGAACCAUUUCGGAGACACUUCCUGGUAUCUGCUCUGGUUUUGUUUGUUUGUUUGUUUGUUUGUUUGUUUGUUUGAUU
rnacentral:lncRNA from 1 species